AUUGAACGCUGGCGGCAGGCCUAACACAUGCAAGUCGAACGAUCGGCGGACGGGUGAGUAAUGUCUGGGAAUCUGCCUGAUGGAGGGGGAUAACUACUGGAAACGGUAGCUAAUACCGCAUACCAUCGGAUGUACCCAGAUGGGAUUAGCUAGUAGGGGGGGUAAAGGCUCACCUAGGCGACGAUCCCUAGCUGGUCUGAGAGGAUGACCAGGCAGACUGGGAUUGAGACACGGUCCAGACUCAUACGGGAGGCAGCAGUGGGGAAUAUUGCAAAAUGGGCGCAAGCCUGAUGCAGCCAUGCCGCGUGUAUGAAGAAGGCCUUAGGGUUGUAAAGUACUUUCAGCGGGGAGGCGUUACCCGCAGAAGAAGCACCGGCUAACUCCGUGCCAGCAGCCGCGGUAAUAC
rnacentral:rRNA from 1 species